GGGAGCGUAUGCGGGAUGGUAAGUCAGCGGUCAAAUGUCCGUGCCCAACGCGGUCAUGCCGUUGAUACUGCCGUUCUUGAAUCCACACAAGGGAGAUGGAAUUCGUUGUGUAGCGGUGAAAUGCUUAGAUAUGACGAAGAACUCCGAUUGCGAAGGCAGUCUCCUGGGGUGGCAUUGACGCUGAGGCUCGAAAGUGCGGGAAUCAAACAGGAUUAGAUACCCUGGUAGUCCGCACCGUAAACGAUGAGUGCUGGUCAUUGGCGACAGACGGUCAGUGACUGAGGGAAACCAUUAAGCACUCCACCUGGGGAGUACGCCGGCAACGGUGAAACUCAAAGGAAUUGACGGGGGCCCGCACAAGCGGAGGAACAUGUGGUUUAAUUCGAUGAUACGCGAGGAACCUUACCCGGGUUUGAAAUGUGCAUGACGGUGUUUGGAGACAGACACUUCCUUCGGGCAUGCAUGUAGGUGCUGCAUGGUUGUCGUCAGCUCGUGCCGUGAGGUGUCGGCUUAAGUGCCAUAACGAGCGCAACCCUUGCUGUCAGUUGCCAUCAGUUGAAGCUGGGCACUCUGUCAGGACUGCCAUCGCAAGAUGUGAGGAAGGUGGGGAUGACGUCAAAUCAGCACGGCCCUUACGUCCGGGGCUACACACGUGUUACAAUGGGGGGCACAGCGCGCUGGUGCAUGGCGACAUGCAUCGAAU
rnacentral:rRNA from 1 species